GGUUUGGCUCAAUCAGUAAGAGCAUGAAACUCUUGCUCUCAGGGUUGUGGGUUUGAGCCCCACAUUGGGCA